rnacentral:rRNA from 1 species
AUUGAACGCUGGCGGCAUGCCUUACACAUGCAAGUCGAACGGUAACAGGCCGCAAGGUGCUGACGAGUGGCGAACGGGUGAGUAAUGCAUCGGAACGUGCCCAGUUGUGGGGGAUAACUGCUCGAAAGAGCAGCUAAUACCGCAUACGACCUGAGGGUGAAAGCGGGGGAUCGCAAGACCUCGCGCAAUUGGAGCGGCCGAUGUCAGAUUAGGUAGUUGGUGGGGUAAAGGCCUACCAAGCCGACGAUCUGUAGUUGGUCUGAGAGGACGACCAGCCACACUGGGACUGAGACACGGCCCAGACUCCUACGGGAGGCAGCAGUGGGGAAUUUUGGACAAUGGGCGCAAGCCUGAUCCAGCAAUGCCGCGUGCAGGAAGAAGGCCUUCGGGUUGUAAACUGCUUUUGUCAGGGAAGAAAUCCUCUGGGUUAAUACCCCGGGGGGAUGACGGUACCUGAAGAAUAAGCACCGGCUAACUACGUGCCAGCAGCCGCAGUAA